UACGGGGGGGGGCAAGCGUUUGUUCGGAAUUACUGGGCGUAAAGGGCUCGUAGGCGGCCAACUAAGUCAGACGUGAAAUCCCUCGGCUUAACCGGGGAACUGCGUCUGAUACUGGAUGGCUUGAGGUUGGGAGAGGGAUGCGGAAUUCCAGGUGUAGCGGUGAAAUGCGUAGAUAUCUGGAGGAACACCGGUGGCGAAGGGCGCAUCCUGGACCAAUUCUGACGCUGAGGAGCGAAAGCCAGGGGAGCAAACGGG
rnacentral:rRNA from 1 species